rnacentral:rRNA from 1 species
UACGAAGGGUGCAAGCGUUAAUCGGAAUUACUGGGCGUAAAGGGUGCGUAGGCGGUUCGUUAAGUCUGUCGUGAAAUCCCCGGGCUCAACCUGGGAAUGGCAGUGGAUACUAGGAGGCUAGAGUGUGUCAGAGGAUGGUGGAAUUCCCGGUGUAGCGGUGAAAUGCGUAGAGAUCGGGAGGAACAUCAGUGGCGAAGGCGGCCAUCUGGGACAACACUGACGCUGAGGCACGAAAGCGUGGGGAGCAAACAGG